rnacentral:rRNA from 2 species
UGACCUCAAAUCAGGUAGGACUACCCGCUGAACUUAAGCAUAUCAAUAAGCGGAGGAAAAGAAACUAACAAGGAUUCCCCUAGUAACUGCGAGUGAAGCGGGAAAAGCUCAAAUUUAAAAUCUGGCAGUCUCUCUGGCUGUCCGAGUUGUAAUCUAGAGAAGCGUUAUCCGCGCUGGACCGUGUACAAGUCUCCUGGAAUGGAGCGUCAUAGAGGGUGAGAAUCCCGUCUUUGACACGGACUGCCAGGGCUUUUGUGAUGCGCUCUCAAAGAGUCGAGUUGUUUGGGAAUGCAGCUCAAAAUGGGUGGUAAAUUCCAUCUAAAGCUAAAUAUUGGCGAGAGACCGAUAGCGAACAAGUACCGUGAGGGAAAGAUGAAAAGAACUUUGGAAAGAGAGUUAAACAGUACGUGAAAUUGCUGAAAGGGAAACGCUUGAAGUCAGUCGCGUUGGCCAGGGAUCAACCUUGCUUUUCCUUGGUGUACUUUCUGGUUGACGGGUCAGCAUCAAUUUUGACUAUUGGAAAAAAGUCAGGGGAAUGUGGCAUCUUAGGAUGUGUUAUAGCCCUUGGUUGUAUACAAUGGUUGGGAUUGAGGAACUCAGCACGCCGCAAGGCCGGGUUUUUUAACCACGUACGUGCUUAGGAUGC